GCCAGUGUGGUGUAGUGGUUUUGAAGUCUGGACUAUAACUCUGGAGACCAGGAUUCGAAUCCCCACUUGGGCA